rnacentral:rRNA from 1 species
UACGUAGGGUGCGAGCGUUGUCCGGAAUUAUUGGGCGUAAAGGGCUCGUAGGCGGUUUGUCGCGUCGGGAGUGAAAACCCAGGGCUUAACCCUGGGCUGGCUUCCGAUACGGGCAGACUAGAGGUAUGCAGGGGAGAACGGAAUUCCUGGUGUAGCGGUGAAAUGCGCAGAUAUCGGGAGGAACAUCAGUGGCGAAGGCGGCCCUCUGGUCCAGUACUGACACUCAAGUGCGAAAGCGUGGGGAGCGAACAGG